rnacentral:ncRNA from 2 species
UUUUCCAAGUAGCGUUCGCGCGCAUCGGCCCACCGGGCGAUGCUGGGAAGCAGGUGAAAAGCCUGCGCUGCCGCGCAACUGUAAGCGAGAGCAAUCGGACUAAGCCACUGUCGCAAGAUGGGAAGGCUCCUCCGGAAGUUAUCGGCCAACGCCGAAACUCGCGAGCCAGGAGACCGGCGCGAACACCUCGAUCCAC